rnacentral:rRNA from 1 species
UACAGAGGGUGCAAGCGUUAAUCGGAUUUACUGGGCGUAAAGCGCGCGUAGGUGGCUAAUUAAGUCAAAUGUGAAAUCCCCGAGCUUAACUUGGGAAUUGCAUUCGAUACUGGUUAGCUAGAGUACGGGAGAGGAUGGUAGAAUUCCAGGUGUAGCGGUGAAAUGCGUAGAGAUCUGGAGGAAUACCGAUGGCGAAGGCAGCCAUCUGGCCUAAUACUGACACUGAGGUGCGAAAGCAUGGGGAGCAAACAGGAUUAGAUACCCCAGUAGUCC